AUUGAACGCUGGCGGCGUGCUUAACACAUGCAAGUCGAACGAUGAACCCGGAGCUUGCUCCGGCGGAUUAGUGGCGAACGGGUGAGUAACACGUGAGUAACCUGCCCUUGACUCUGGGAUAACUGCGGGAAACUGUAGCUAAUACCGGAUACGACCCUCGGCGGCAUCGCCAGGGGGUGGAAAGAAUUUCGGUCAAGGAUGGACUCGCGGCCUAUCAGCUAGUUGGUGAGGUAACGGCUCACCAAGGCGACGACGGGUAGCCGGCCUGAGAGGGUGACCGGCCACACUGGGACUGAGACACGGCCCAGACUCCUACGGGAGGCAGCAGUGGGGAAUAUUGCACAAUGGGCGCAAGCCUGAUGCAGCAACGCCGCGUGAGGGAUGACGGCCUUCGGGUUGUAAACCUCUUUUAGUAGGGAAGAAGCGAAAGUGACGGUACCUGCAGAAAAAGCACCGGCUAACUACGUGCCAGCCGCCGUAAGAC
rnacentral:rRNA from 1 species